CAUUUGCAGCUUGAAGGGCCAUACAUAGAUAGGUCAGAUUUGGCCUGUAGGCGAAGUUCACUGACUCUUGUUCCAAAGCAUAUGGUUCUUUAUCACUACAGCAGUGGUCUCCAAAAUUUUUUAAAAGUGUAUCCCUCUUAAAAAAGCUUCAAGAAUGUACUCACAGCCUAGAUACCAAAAUGUUUAUUUUAUUUAUAAGACAUUACAUGUUUGUAUCAAACUAAUAAAUUAUGUACAUUAUAAAACAUGCUCAAAAAUAUAAAUUUAAAAAGCAUGAGAUGAAAUGUGAAUGUAAAUAGAAGUUCUAAAAGUUCUUUCUGUGCCCCAGGAGACCAUCUUGCCUACUUUUUGGGCAAUCUGCAUUUCAUCUUGGAGUUCUCCCUGUUGGAGGAAAAAGAUGACGCUUGUCACAUGACACUGGCCCACAAUUUUCUAGAAGAUCUUAAUAUCAGCCUUUAUCUUGAGCCUACUUAAACCCAAGGGAACUUGCUUCAUUUGGACCUUAGUGCAGGUGUCUGUGGGGGAAGGUGUCCAUUUAGACUUAAAAGUGAUUUGAUUUUCUCUUCAUCUUCUGUUAGGCACCCUUGCUGUUCUUCUCCACUAUCACUAUCUGUUGUUGAAUCUGUGUCCUUAUUUCUAAUUGGUGAUGUGGAAGCUACACAUUUGAGUCUAUCUUCUCUCAGUUUUUUCUUUUCAUUAUGUUUCUUCCAAAUCUUAUUAUAUCUCUUUUGCAUGUUGGCUUCUCAUGUGAAAAGUCUGGUUAUUUAUUUAUUUAUUAUAUUUCAGAAGAUCAGUGUAAUAAUUUUCAGUGACGAUUAUAACUCUCCUGCAGGCCAGUGUAUUCUUUUGAGGCAUGAGAUAGGAAGCUAAAUUACAAUCAGAAGGUGUCCUGGGCCGGGCACAGUAGCUCAUGCCUGUAACCCCAGCACUUUGGGAGGCAGAGGUGGGCGGAUCACGAGGUCAGGAGAUUGAGACCAUCCUGGCUAACAGGAUGGUCUCUACUAAACCCCGUCUCUACUAAAAAUACAAAAAAAAUUAGCCGGGCAUGGUGGCAGGCGCCUGUAAUCCCAGCUACUCUGAAGGCUGAGC
rnacentral:lncRNA from 1 species